UGCCACACAACAAUGAGCAAAGAAAUACCUUGUUGGUGGUGUUGUUCUUAUAUCGGUCAGGGGCACAGCAGAUGGCAGUCCUUUGUUCAUCCUAGCUUGAUGAGUGGCUUGGUGGGUAAAGCUAACUUAUGCCCAUGACACAUAA